rnacentral:rRNA from 1 species
UCUGUGAGGUCACGCCAUCCUGAACACACCAGUCCCCUCUGCUUUUCAAAGCUAAGCUGGGUUGUACCUGGUUAGUACUUGAAUGGGAGACAAUGAGAAGAUACCAGGGAUCUCCAGGU